GUUGCUUCCACUGGAAGAGUGGCCUCCUCAGUUUGGCCACUCCUUAGACGGAAGCAUAAAUAAACUUUGGUCAGUAUUAAACAGCAUGAUGUUUCCUCUCUGUAGCAUCGUGUUACCUGUCUCCUGGUACAUUU
rnacentral:snoRNA from 1 species